rnacentral:misc_RNA from 1 species
UUUUUUUUUUUUUUGAGGAAUUUCUUGUACUGCAUAAAUCUUUUUGUUUGGUUUCUGAUAACAAAUUGAACUAGGAAAUUCUGUAGUUUUAGCACUUAUUCAAUUUUGGGAGUACUGGAAUGUGAUAAAAGAUAAGGAGGCAGGAUCAUUAUACUACUAAAUUAGGGCAAGAACGAUUCUCUAGGUGGGCAAUUGUUAGUUCUUUUGUGUUCUAAUGGGGAAAAUUAGCUAAGUUAAAAACAGUGAAUUAUUGAUUGUGAUUAAAUGUGGCUGUGUUGGUAAGUUGGUAUUGAUUAGCACUGUAUUGUGAUUCAGUUGAGUUGAAUAAUGCAACUAACUGCAUCAAAAUGAAUUUCAAGCUAUGUAUUAUGGAGAUCAUACACAUAGAUGCUUGCUUAUAGACCAAUGGGAUAAAUUUUCGUAUUUGCUUUCUUUAACAUUUUUUUCACCAUGGCUCUACUUAUUCGUUGUGGUAAUUGUUCUUUUUCUUCUUCUUGAUACUUCCUACAUGAGAUGCAGGACAAUCAAGGGUGUAAUUUGCUUUGGAGAUUUUUUUUUUUUU